rnacentral:rRNA from 1 species
AUACGUAGGUGACAAGCGUUAUCCGGAUUUACUGGGUGUAAAGGGCGUGUAGGCGGUUUAGCAAGUCAGAAGUGAAAUUCCCGGGCUUAACUUGGGCGCUGCUUCUGAAACUGCUUUACUUGAGUGCUGGAGAGGAUAGUGGAAUUCCUAGUGUAGCGGUAAAAUGCGCAGAUAUUAGGAGGAACACCGGGGGCGAAGGCGGCUAUCUGGACAGUAACUGACGCUGAGGCGCGAAAGCACGGGGAGCAAACAGGAUUAGAUACCCUGGUAGUCCGUGCCGUAAACGAUGAAUACUAGGUGUAGGGGGUAUCGACUCCCUCUGUGCCGCAGUUAACACAUUAAGUAUUCCACCUGGGGAGUACGGCCGCAAGGUUGAAACUCAAAUGAAUUGACGGGG